rnacentral:misc_RNA from 1 species
GAGCGCGUGAAGCCGUGAACCCUAGCCGCCGCCUCUGCAUGUGCAUCUGCUGCCGCCUGCCGUCGUGCACUCGCGCUCGGCCGCUUGCCCAGUCCGCCGCGCGCCGCGCCCCGUCCGCCGUCCUGUCGCCCGCACGCCGUGCAAACACUGAGACACCCACUCGCCCAGCCCAAUCCGCCGAGCGCCGAGCCGACGCCGCCCAAUCUGCCGAGCGCCGAGCCGACGCCGCCCAGUCCGCCGCGCCGCCCUGGCGACUGGGCGCCACCGCCGAGCUCAUCUGUCAAUCUGUCAUCUCCCCUCGGCCCUCACGUCGUCCGUUGAGAACUUGAAAUAGCAGAUACAAUACAAGGAGCUAGUAAGGCAAUAACAAUCAAAAUGAAUAUUAUUAAAACUGAGUUGCGGAAUAAGACAGGAGACGAAUGGCUCAACAUUAUCUUUCAAGUCACGUUCUUAAUAUAAUUUCCUUCAAGGUUCUGGAGCAAGAAGCACUAUUGUUGAUGUUGAUAUGAUACUUUUGAAAGGGGCUACAUCAUAACUUGUAUGUCAUCUUUAACAUAUAUAACAAUAUUGUUUCAC